AGCACAGAUCAGCGCUCUCAUGGGGACAUGCGGCCAGCAAGACGCAGCCACGGGCUCCUGUCAGACUUCAAGCAGCAGAUGGACCCUCCAGAGAAGACGAUAACAGUCCUCCUCUAUCCAUCUGUGGCAGUCAGGAUGGACGCGGCGUCAGUCAAGCUGGGACGGCCAUGUCGAUUUCAGCGUUGGAGCAGAAGGACUGAAUAGAAACAACAGUUUAGCUAAAUUGCCACAUGCACCUCCACCUUUAAAUGCUCUUUUUAUUGACUUACUGUUAGAAUAUGUACAGCUCAAGACCUCUCAAGAUACCUCCAAGUCCUCCGAUGUGUCUCUGCUGGGAACAAAAAGAUAGAACACUUAUUCCUCAAAUGUAAAGGCUAAAAACUUCUGCAAGGAGCUUUUAUGUGCAGAAUUUAACAUUAACGUGCUAACAUUCUCCCUGUGAAAGUGCUAAAGCUAGUGUUUAGCAUCACAGUUAAACAUACAUUUACCAAUUAACACAAAUAAGACACUAUAGCUACGCUUAAUAUAAAUAUUAUUUUAAAUACAGCUCUGAACAAACAACAAUUAACUUAAUGUUACAUGAAAACACAAACAGCAUAGCUAAAAUGUACUUUUCUGCUAGCAGUGUGCUUUUAGCAUGUUAGCAGCAGAUGCUACACAGUAACUCUACAACAAAAUACAUAUAAAGUGUUUAAAAUCUAUCAUUUUCACCACUUUUAAAACGUUUAAUAUUGUAAAAAAGUGAAAACAUUACCAACUGUUCACCUCAGUUUGGUGUGAUAGCAUGCUCACAAUAUAGCUGAAGCUAGCACAGCUAAUGCUAACCCUUUAUAGCUCCUUUUUUAAAAUGUAUUUAACAUGUUAGCAGUGUGAAUGAAGCCAAAUAAGCCUAGCUAACUUGAAUAACACUCAAAUUGUUUGAAACUUUAGCAUCUUUAUCAUGUUUUUUCCAAGGUGUUUGGCUUAAAAUUACCAUAAAGUUAAGUAAUGUUUGUUGAAAGUGGCUAUUCUUUUAGUUUGUAGGCAGCUUAACCUUUCUUUUUUGGGUUUAAAAGGUUCAAAUAAGAGAAUAAAAAAAGAGGACAAAUCUGGUGUUUAUCUUUUGGGUGUGAGAAAAGGGGUUUUAAUAUGUUUACAAGCAGAGCUAGCAAACAGCUUAUGAUGUUGCAGAUUUGUUUGAGAACAUUUAAGGUGCAAGUGGAAAAACAACCUGUUCUGUAUUUUCAAACAUUGUCUCCUCCGUUUACCUUUAAAGCGUUUCAUGUUGAAGUUAUAUCACAGUAUUUACUUCCUCACCUGUGUCAUUACUAGUGUGUUAUUUCCCCUCUUCGUGACGUCGUUUCCUCGUCCUCGUCCUCUCUUCUCGCUGAAUCGCGGCAGUUGGUGGCGGCCAUUUUGGCUCAAAACGGAGCAGAGGGAGGUCUGCAGUUGCUCAGUAGUCAGUGUAGAUCCUGUGGGGCUGGCAGCAGCUACAUCUGGCUACUGGGUCUCUGCUGGCGGCCAUGUUUUUCAGUACACAGAAGGGUAUAAAACUGACUUUAUGGCUACAUAAGCACAAAUUAAAUUACUUAAUGUACAUAUUAUACUUUUUUAACAUUAAAGUGAAGUUAUUGUUGAUGUUACAUGUGACAGAAAUGUCUCAAAUGCACAUAAACACUGUAAAUAAAAGCCUUCAGGACAGUUAUGCUAGGACUACAUGGGUAGUUUGGGUGACAGUAGGACUUUUUAGAUCUUGAAGAAAGACCUGGGUAAGUCCUGGACCUGGCAUACAGUGUAGGAUUCUGUGUGUGUCAGUCUACAGCUACAUUGUCUGCUGGGUUUCAGGCCUCUACUCAUACACACAUUUAUAUAAUUAAAGCAUUUCUGUGUCAUUUCAGGUGCUUACUGUGAAUUACUGUAAAAUGAAUAUAUGGAAGUGUUGUGGUGUGUUCAAAGAACCAGAAAGCAUGUUAAUUUGACAACUUUGUGUUUAUUGACUCAUCAUAAAACAUUCUUCAAACAAUAAAACAAUUUUAAAUGUC